UGUCGAACGAAGCUUCGGGCUUAGUGGCGCACGGGUGCGUAACGCGUGGGAUUGCCCUCUGGUACGGAAUAACUCAGGGAAACUUGAGCUAAUACCGUAUAAUGACUUCGGUCCAAAGAUUUAUCGCCUGAGGAUGAGCCCGCGUCGGAUUAGCUAGUUGGUGAGGUAAAAGCUCACCAAGGCGACGAUCCGUAGCUGGUCUGAGAGGAUGGUCAGCCACACUGGGACUGAGACACGGCCCAGACUCCUACGGGAGGCAGCAGUGGGGAAUAUUGGACAAUGGGCGAAAGCCUGAUCCAGCAAUGCCGCGUGAGUGAUGAAGGCCUUAGGGUUGUAAAGCUCUUUUACCCGGGAUGAUAAUGACAGUACCGGGAGAAUAAGCCCCGGCUAACUCCGUGCCAGCAGCCGCGGUAAUACGGAGGGGGCUAGCGUUGUUCGGAAUUACUGGGCGUUAAGCGCACGUAGGCGGCUUUGUAAGUUAGAGGUGAAAGCCCGGGGCUCAACUCCGGAAUUGCCUUUAAGACUGC
rnacentral:rRNA from 1 species